GGACGUACCUCUGGUGUACCAGUUGUCCUGCCAAGGGCAUGGCUGGGUAGCUAUGUAUGGAAUGGAUAAGCGCUGAAAGCAUCUAAGCGCGAAGCCAACUUCAAGAUAAGAUUUCCCACCGCAAGGGUAAGACCCCAGAAAGACUAUCUGGUUGAUAGGUCGAAGGUGUAAGUGCAGCAAUGUAUUUAGCUUAUCGAUACUAAUAGGUCGAGGACUUGACCAA
rnacentral:rRNA from 1 species